CAAUAGCGUAUAUUAAAGUUGUUGCAGUUAAAAAGCUCGUAGUUGAAUUUUUGCUUGCCGCCGAUGUCGGAACUUCCGUACGUUCGGCGGCGUGCAUCCUUGGGUGGAACCUGUGUGGCAUUAGGUUGUCGUGCAGGGGAUGCUCAUCGUUUACUGUGAAAAAAUUAGAGUGUUCAAAGCAGGCUUAUGCCGUUGAAUAUAUUAGCAUGGAAUAAUAAGAUAGGACCUUGGUACUAUUUUGUUGGUUUGCGCACCGAGGUAAUGAUUAACAGGGACAGUUGGGGGUAUUCGUAUUCCAUUGUCAGAGGUGAAAUUCUUGGAUUUACGCAAGACAAACAGCUGCGAAAGCGUCUGCCAAGGAUGUUUUCAUUAA
rnacentral:rRNA from 1 species